UACGUAGGGCGCAAGCGUUAUCCGGAAUUAUUGGGCGUAAAGAGCUCGUAGGCGGCUUGUCGCGUCUGCCGUGAAAGUCCGGGGCUCAACUCCGGAUCUGCGGUGGGUACGGGCAGACUAGAGUGAUGUAGGGGAGACUGGAAUUCCUGGCGUAGCGGUGAAAUGCGCAGAUAUCAGGAGGAACACCGAUGGCGAAGGCAGGUCUCUGGGCAUUAACUGACGCUGAGGAGCGAAAGCAUGAGGAGCGAACAGG
rnacentral:rRNA from 1 species